CUGUCUGGGUAUGAGGCAGCUAUGCCGAUCACAGAGAAGUCAAAUCCACUGACCUGGGACUUGGACAAAGCAGAUGCUGGGAAAAUCGUUUAGUUGCUGGGGCAGUGUGAUGCUGAGAUCUUCCAGGAGAAGGGGCAAGGCAUGCCUGCCUACCAGCGACUGUACAGCGAAUCAGUUCUGACCACCAUGCUGCAAGUGGCCGGGAAAGUGCAGGAAGUGCUGAAGGAGCCAGAUGGGGGGCUGGUGGUGCUGAGUGGAGGGGGCACCUCUGGAUGGAUGACAUUCCUCAUGUCGGUUCCAGUCUUGAAGUGUGCUGAAGCAAGCUGGCACGGACACAUCUGGAGGGAAGCACACAUUCAGUGACACCCGCACAGGAGGCACAGGAGCCAACAGCAUGACCUCCAAGAAGACCCAGAGAAGGCCUUGCUGCACUCUGCUGGGGCCCCGCCCACCUGGCCGAGCUCGUCCCACAGCUGCUGGUUAACUGGCCUGGAGGACUGUUUUGUCUGGGGAAUUAUUUGGCCAGGCCCUUUUGAACUGUAGGGUCCCAAUGAAGUACUAGAUAUUAUUUAUGUAAGAAUGAGCUCUUUUAACAAUACAUAACAAUAAUGCCCUUUCAGAAAUUUCUAACUACUUUCCAUGACUUAACCUGGUGAUAGUUAUUAAAAGUCUACCUUUAAAAAAUAAUAAAUAGGGCCGGGGAUUUAGCUCAGUGGUUUGGCCGCCUGCUGCGCAAGCACAAGGACCCGAGUUCAAUCCCUGGUACCAAAAAAAAAAAAAUAAUAAUAAUAAUAAGUAAGUGACAGAGGUGAGAUGCAAACCAAGGUCUAUUUUCACACUCCAUGCUGCCACCAAAAAAAAAAAUAAUAAUAAUAAAUAGGGCCAGGGAUUCAGUGGCCCCAUGCCUGCCUCACAAGUGCAAGGAAAUAAAGGCCAGAGGGUUGAAGCUGAGCAGCCUCUUCAGUGGGAGAGGGAAGUGAGAAUGUAGGCAGUUUUAGAGGGGAGGAAAGUGCUUAUUAGGGGCAAUGAAUGGCCCCAAAGAACAGACAAUCAUUUUCAAAUGAUUCUUUUUGGAAGUUGAAUGGGUCCAAACAACAAAGUUCCUUUGGGUACCAAGUUUCAGGAGACUGAGGCAGGCUUUGGUUUGGUUCUCUGUGGUACUGGUACUGGGGAUGGAAUCUGGAGCUGGCAGAUAGUCUCUCAAGGUGCUCAGAACUGCCCUCCGAAGAACAGAGGGCAAAGCGCCUCUGAAUGUUCCUUAGUGACUUUGAUAUGGGGGGGAUAAAUGCAACUCCCAACCUGCUAGAUGUCAGAUAUUCCCAGUUCCUGUUCCCGGAAGUUGAAGAAUGAAUUCUAAGGAACAAGGAGGUUAAGAGGAGGAAAAUUGGGCCAAGGAUUUAGCUCAGUGGCACCACACCUGCCUUGCAAGCGCAAGGUCCUGAGUUCCAUGCCCAGUACCCCCUCCCCCAAAAGGAAAAUUUAUUGUGGAAUAGGAAUGGGGGGGGUAAGAAUAGCUCCUGGGAGACAGGAAGAGUCCCGAAUGAGUUGCUGUCAGGUGGGUGGGCUGAAGGGAGGCCGGGCCAGGAGAGGUUCCCAAACAAAAGAAUAGGUGUGGAGCAGAGAUUACCAGAAAGAAGGAACCAACCAAACUUUAGACACAGUAAAGCAAAACAUUUUGGGUGCCUUGCAUAGUUGUGUGUUUGUCCAUGUGGGUUCGUUAUUAUAACAAACUUCAUCGUGUGCCUGUGCUAAAUGACAGUUGCAGUGGGCUCCUACAGUUGACAAUAAACCUACUUCUCAAAGGAAGUUUUAUAGAGCAAAGUCAGGAGGGGUGGGUAUAAUGUGGGUAAAAACUGUAAUCACCCAAUAGGAUUACAAGUAUAGUAGCUUAGGUAAUAUUAACCCAAUAAUAACAAGGGUAUAUGGAUGACAUCAUUAACCUUCAUUGAUAAUCUGUGGUCUUAGUUUUAAAUCUUCUUGGUCUUAGUGGUCUUGGUUUUAAGUGGGUGGAGGAGGACAGCCCACCUACAAAGAGAUAAUGGGAAAACCCAAAAGGGUGGUACCAAUACUCUGAAGCUUCUGUUCAUCCCUUUAGGAAAGUAGCAAAUCUGGCCAUUGUGACUUUAAUUUAAUUGUGAUUUAAUCACCUUCAGGUGUGGCUCCAGCCAUAGCUUUGAUGUGUUUUCAUUCUCUGCAUUGACUUCAAGAGCCCAGCCCUGUUGACUUCCUGCAGUAUUUCUACCUUAGCUGUCUAUGUCAACUUGAUGCGCUUCCUAGGGAGGAAAUGUAAUAAAAUCACGUUUCUUUUUACUUUUUGAGACAGGAUCUCACUGUAUUGCCUGUUCUGUGAACUUGGGAUCCUCCUGCCUCAGCCCUGCAUCCUACCCCCAGUAGCUGGAACUUCAGGUGCCCCCUGCAGGUGUGCCCUUGCACUCACACAGG
rnacentral:lncRNA from 1 species